rnacentral:rRNA from 1 species
UGGGUGAUCUGCCCUGCACUUCGGGAUAAGCCUGGGAAACUGGGUCUAAUACCGGAUAUGACCACACUCUUCCUGGUGUGUGGUGGAAAGCUUUUGCGGUGUGGGAUGGGCCCGCGGCCUAUCAGCUUGUUGGUGGGGUAAUGGCCUACCAAGGCGUCGACGGGUAGCCGGCCUGAGAGGGUGUCCGGCCACACUGGGACUGAGAUACGGCCCAGACUCCUACGGGAGGCAGCAGUGGGGAAUAUUGCACAAUGGGCGCAAGCCUGAUGCAGCGACGCCGCGUGGGGGAUGACGGCCUUCGGGUUGUAAACCUCUUUCAGCACAGACGAAGCGCAAGUGACGGUAUGUGCAGAAGAAGCACCGGCCAACUACGUGCCAGCAGCCGCGGUAAUACGUAGGGUGCGAGCGUUGUCCGGAAUUACUGGGCGUAAAGAGCUUGUAGGUGGUUUGUCGCGUUGUUCGUGAAAUCUCACGGCUCAACUGUGAGCGUGCGGGCGAUACGGGCAGACUAGAGUACUGCAGGGGAGACUGGAAUUCCUGGUGUAGCGGUGGAAUGCGCAGAUAUCAGGAGGAACACCGGUGGCGAAGGCGGGUCUCUGGGCAGUAACUGACGCUGAGAAGCGAAAGCGUGGGGAGCGAACAGGAUUAGAUACCCUGGUAGUCCACGCCGUAAACGGUGGGUACUAGGUGUGGGUUUCCUUCCUUGGGAUCCGUGCCGUAGCUAACGCAUUAAGUAC